rnacentral:lncRNA from 1 species
UUCAUUGUUACCUAUGUAAAGCAAAGGGCCAAACCUGCAUGUAAUUUCUAACUUUCAUGUUUUCAUGCAGUAUGCUCAGUAUUUUCAUGGCAAAACAAUAUCAAACAUUUUGCAGAUAACCAGCCAAUAGUUCAACUAAAUAAAACAUCACUCUAGGCAAGGUUUCAUGCAUGUUAAUCAUCUAACAAACUCUUAUGCAUCAUGCCUUAUGUUUGGAACCUAAUGGGGGUCCAACCCAUUUAGCUAAAAAUCUAUU